rnacentral:rRNA from 1 species
UACGUAGGGAGCAAGCGUUGUCCGGAAUCAUUGGCGUAAAGCGCGCGUAGGUGGCCCCAUAAGUCCGCUGUGAAAGUCAAAGGCUCAACCUUUGAAAGCCGGUGGAUACUGUGGGACUAGAGUACGGAAGAGGCGAGUGGAAUUCCUGGUGUAGCGGUGGAAUGCGCAGAUAUCAGGAGGAACACCAAUAGCGAAGGCAGCUCGCUGGGACGUUACUGACACUGAGGCGCGAAAGCGUGGGGAGC